rnacentral:rRNA from 1 species
GUGAGGAAUAUUGCACAAUGGGGGGAACCCUGAUGCAGCAACGCCGCGUGGAGGAUGACGCAUUUCGGUGUGUAAACUCCUUUUAUAUGUCAAGAAAAUGACGGUAGCAUAUGAAUAAGCACCGGCUAACUCCGUGCCAGCAGCCGCGGUAAUACGGAGGGUGCAAGCGUUACUCGGAAUCACUGGGCGUAAAGGACGCGUAGGCUGGUUGAAAAGUCAGGUGUGAAAGCCUACAGCUUAACUGUAGAACUGCACUUGAAACUCUCACUCUAGAGUAUGGGAGGGGGAGAUGGAAUUAGUGGUGUAGGGGUAAAAUCCGUAGAUAUCACUAGGAAUACCUAAAGCGAAGGCGAUCUCCUGGAACAUUACUGACGCUAAGGCGUGAAAGCGUGGGGAGCAAACAGGAUUAGAUACCCGGGUAGUCC